rnacentral:rRNA from 1 species
AUUGAACGCUGGCGGCAGGCCUAACACAUGCAAGUCGAACGAGUGGCGGACGGGUGAGUAAUGUCUGGGAACCUGCCUGAUGGCGGGGGAUAACUACUGGAAACGGUAGCUAAUACCGCAUACCAUCAGAUGUGCCCCGAUGGGAUUAGCUAGGUGGUGGGGUAAAGGCUCACAAAGGCGACGAUCCCUAGCUGGUAUGAGAGGAUGACCAGCCACAGUGGAACUGAGACACGGCCCAGACUCCUACGCGAGGCAGCAGUGGGGAAGAUUGGACAAUGGGCGCAAGCCUGAGGCAGCAAUGCCGCGUGUAUGAUGAAGGCCUUCGGGUUGUAAAGUACUUUCAGCGGGGAGGCGGUACCCGCAGAAGAAGCACCGGCUAACUCCGUGCCAGCAGCCGCGGUAAUUC